GUGCCAGCAGCCGCGGUAAUACGGAGGAUCCGAGCGUUAUCCGGAUUUAUUGGGUUUAAAGGGUGCGUAGGUGGUUUAAUAAGUCAGCGGUGAAAGUUUGCAGCUUAACUGUAAAAAUGCCGUUGAAACUGUUAGACUUGAGUGUAAAUGAGGUAGGCGGAAUGCGUGGUGUAGCGGUGAAAUGCUUAGAUAUCACGCAGAACUCCGAUUGCGAAGGCAGCUUACCAAGCUACAACUGACACUGAAGCACGAAAGCGUGGGGAUCAAACAGGAUUAGAAACCCUCGUAGUCC
rnacentral:rRNA from 1 species